rnacentral:rRNA from 1 species
UACGUAGGGUGCAAGCGUUGUCCGGAAUUAUUGGGCGUAAAGAGCUCGUAGGCGGUCUGUCGCGUCGGCUGUGAAAACCUGGGGCUUAACUCCGGGCCUGCAGCCGAUACGGGCAGACUAGAGUUCGGCAGGGGAGACUGGAAUUCCUGGUGUAGCGGUGAAAUGCGCAGAUAUCAGGAGGAACACCGGUGGCGAAGGCGGGUCUCUGGGCCGAUACUGACGCUGAGACGCGAAAGCGUGGGGAGCGAACAGG